GGGGAUUUAGCUCAGUGGUAGAGCGCUUGCCUAGCAAGCGCAAGGCCCUGGGUGCAAGGCCCUGGGUUCGGUCCCCAGCUCCG
rfam:Rattus norvegicus chromosome 7, whole genome shotgun sequence.